rnacentral:rRNA from 1 species
GACGAACGCUGGCGGCGUGCCUAAUACAUGCAAGUCGAGCGGACUGAAUGGGAGCUUGCUCUUGUUCGGUCAGCGGCGGACGGGUGAGUAACACGUGGGCAACCUGCCCGCAAGACCGGGAUAACUCCGGGAAACCGGAGCUAAUACCGGAUAACACCGAAGACCGCAUGGUCUUUGGUUGAAAGGCGGCGCAAGCUGCCACUUGCGGAUGGGCCCGCGGCGCAUUAGCUAGUUGGUGAGGUAACGGCUCACCAAGGCGACGAUGCGUAGCCGGCCUGAGAGGGUGACCGGCCACACUGGGACUGAGACACGGCCCAGACUCCUACGGGAGGCAGCAGUAGGGAAUCUUCCGCAAGGGGCGAAAGCCUGACGGAGCGACGCCGCGUGAGCGAAGAAGGCCUUCGGGUCGUAAAGCUCUGUUGUGAGGGACGAAGGAGCGCCGUUUGAAGAAGGCGGCGCGGUGACGGUACCUCACGAGGAAGCCCCGGCUAACUACGUG